AUACCAAUCAGAUACUUUGUAACAAAUGCAACACAAUCAGUGCGUUCAGUAAGUAUAACGUUUCAAGAUGGCGGAGCGAAUUGCAUGGUUAUUGUUUCUACUCGAUGGAUUCGCAGAUAAUUCGGAAAUAGAUCAGAUUGGGAUCAAUAACUGUAUUGCAUACGAUCAUUUACAUGUAUUACCAGGUGUGUGUUGCCAGUAAUGGUUGAAGAUAUGCCAAACAAAUUGUGCCUCUCUAUACAGACAGAUUUCAGGUCUCAAUUUUGACUUCAAAGGUCAACAUAUCACUGAUAUCAGGAAUUCUGUACAACUGUGGAACCAUGUAUGGUACGUGACCGCACAAUGUUGGUUGGCAAAAGGAUAUUGGAAUAAGCAAAGGGACUCAACAUUACACAGUCAUUUCAACUUGUCAGCAAUGAUGGAGCAGUACAUCAGAUUUCCAGAAUCUCGUCAUGAGCUGAAGAUCAUUGCCUAUGGAUUUCAUGAAUGAUGUAGAAUGAUUGGACUGUUGAUGGAACCCACAGUGCAUGUCCUGCUUCAACAUCUGAGCAUAGGUCCUUGUUUAUCAGCAGUUUAGUUCUUCAAGCAGUCUGUGACAGUAACUUGAAAUGUUUGGACAUAUGACCUGGAUGGCCAAGUUCUGUGCAUGAUGCCCAUUUAAAUAGGAACGGCCCAGUGGCGCAUUAAAUGGACAUUUUUCGAAUGUUCUCGAGGAUUCAGCUUACCGCCUGACAAGAAAUCUUGCUUUUUGUUCCGUAUCGAGGCCAUGGACAUUUGUAUCAUUUGCAAAAGAUACUGCGAUAUUUGUGCCUUUGUUCAUGCUUUAUAGUUGAUUAACAAUUGGAAGCCAUAACCUGUUUUAUAGGAUGGUGUUAGUGGGACAAUGAAUUUUGUAAAGAUUUAAAGACUGGAAAAGAUAAUUAAAAGUCAAAAGAGUUCUGCUAUUGUUAAGCAUGCUUUAUUGAUUUGUAAUGUUAGAAAGAUAGCAUUAUUAACAGAAUAAAAUGUCCAUAAUUUAAA